rnacentral:rRNA from 1 species
GACAGAGGCCUCAAGCGUUAGGCGGAAUCACUGGGCUUGAAGCGUGUGUAGGCGGAUCGUUAAGUGUCUUGUGAAAUCCCACGGCUCACCCGUGGAACGGCUGGGCAUACUGGCGAUCUUGGGCCAACUAGGGGCAACUGGAACAAGCGGUGGAGCGGUGAAAUGCGUAGAUAUCGUUUGGAACGCCAAAGGUGAGAACAGGUUGCUGGGGUUGUGCCGACGCUGAGACACGAAAGCCAGGGGAGCAAACGGG